rnacentral:lncRNA from 1 species
AUAAGCAAGGGAGCAAAGACGUGAUAAAGCUUGGUUGUCGGAAGAUUAAUUCAUCAGCAGUGUGCAGGGGAACUUAAAGGAGAAAUAUUUUAAAAUUAAAGCUUUAAGUAUUACAGAGAAAUAAAAAGCAGGAGACUACAUAGGAAAAAAAAUCACAUUCCUUCUCCUCUACUAAAAUAGGGUAAUUUAUCAUCACUAUAUACAAACUGGUAGAGGAAUAAGCAAUGAAAACCACUCAAAUAUGCUAAAAAAGUCUAUUUCUUUGCAAACUUGAGGGAGUUCCUCAUCUGUUAUUGUACCUUGCCAUCAGGCUUGUACAGACCAUCAAACCUCUCUCAGAUUGGCUUAAAAAAAUCACAGAGAAACUAUAGUUUCAAAUCAUAUUGACCAGGAUUUAAAACCCAGAGAUUUUCCUUUCCUUAAUAUUAAGAAAUAACCAAAUAGUUA